rnacentral:lncRNA from 1 species
GCUAAAAGAACUCAACCUGACAUUGGCCUAGAAAGUUGCUGUGAGCAUGGACCCUUAAACAUUCACUGACUUUCUCUGCAGACAUCUGAUUAUGAAGAUCAGCCCUGGAACGCACAUCUGGUGGUGCACACUGUUAAGCACAGGCAAAAACUGAACCUUCUAGUUGAUUCUCCCUCUGAGCUUUCCAGAGACACCCUUGAUUGGAACACUGUUCAGCCAUAUUUCCUAUUCGUGGGAGGGAAAUGGACCACGUACAGGAUGCUGCACGUCAGAGUGAAACAGAAAGACCUUCCCGAAGAAAGUAAGCAGACGUGUGAAUGUGGCAUUGUGGAUCCCAUAAAAUAGACCAACAAUGAUUGAAAGCAAGAAAAUGACUUGGUCUUCCUUAAAACUACAACAAUUAGGCAAUUGAGCUAAUAGGAUCUGAGAAGAUGUAAAUAAGUUGUUGUUUCUUUUAUUACCA